UACAGUUGUCAGGAGGAGCACAGCAGCGGUUUCACAAGGUAACUGUUUUUACACACGAGCUUGUUUUCUUUCAUUAAAAACAACAAAUAACCAAAUUUAUAGAAAACCUUAUUGGACCACACAAUGAAUGCAUUUUACACUAUACACACCACACGCACUUCAACCUUGUGGAUAGACUCAGGAGCAGAGUGCAGAUUCGGGUGUGGCCCUCUGGGCAGACUCAGGGGCAGGUUCCAAGGGCCCAGAAGUUGACCUGUGUCAGGGGCCCCAAGAUUUCAGAUGGCAGCCCUGUCUGUCACUGUAGGUAUGAAAACACUACUUAGAGCCUUAAGCAAUUUAAAAGUUGAGUUUAUGCACCUUUAUUCUAAUGCCGAGCAGGUCCGUCAUUGCUGGCACCCCCCCUGCUCCAAUCCCUUGCCUGAAUUUAUUACAUUUGAUUAUCUCAGCCUCUAAAAAAUGCAGUGUUUACAUUAGAAUUCCUGCAGGGAUAGACAUUACACCCUAGAACAAUUACAUUAAGCUGUAGUUGUUCUGUUGACUAUAGUGUCCCUUUAAGCGACAACUGGAUGAAUGCAUUUACGGAACACUUUUACAGUUUUUAUGAUAUCACAACUAUUGAAUUUCAGUGAACACUUGGAAGCUGAAGAAGAGAAAUUCAGAAGAAUUGUCAAACGUUGUUUAAAAUGGGAUCCCACCAAUGACAAUCCACUGGGUUCCGUCGUACUGCCUCAAGCAGACUGUGCCAUCAGUGUCUGGUACUUUAGUACCUGUAAAGAUCAUGACAGCUAUCGCAACAGCUUUAAAAAAUUCUCAUCCCUUGUGAAGGUGGGAGGUCACGUCAUUCUGUUUGCCCUUUUCAAUGGGACCUACUAUAUGAUUGGUGAUCAUAGGUUUUCAAUGUUAAACUAUAAUGAAGAGUUUGUGAAGGAAGUUCUCCAAGACAAUGGGUAUACCACUGUGAUUUGUGAAGUAUAUGAAAGUAAAUUAAACACUCACUUAGUAGAUUAUAAACAGAGUGGGUACAUUGUAGCUUGUAAGGAAAGAGAGAUUUAAUCAAAUUAAUUCUUAAAGGAUUACUUCAAUCACCAUGACUACUUCUGCUUUUAGAAGUGAUCAUGGUGGUAGCAAUCAGUAUGUGCAGCGUUUACAGUGGGGGGAAAAGUCUUCUGAAAGUAAAAUGGAAAAAAUAAAAAAUUUCUGAGUUUGCGUGUGGGUUUUUUUUUUUUUUUUGGUUUAACUUAGAUUUGGUUUUUAGACCUAACUUUGAAAAUCUGGAUAUACUAUUCUGACUUUGAACCAUAUAAAAAGCAAAUUAAACACUCAUUUAAUAUAUCUUUUGGAUCUUUUAAGGGAGGGGAG